AUGAACGCUGGCGGCGUGCCUAAUACAUGCAAGUUGAGCGAACGGACGAGAAGCUUGCUUCUCUGAUGUUAGCGGCGGACGGGUGAGUAACACGUGGAUAACCUACCUAUAAGACUGGGAUAACUUCGGGAAACCGGAGCUAAUACCGGAUAAUAUUUUGAACCGCAUGGUUCAAAAGUGAAAGACGGUCUUGCUGUCACUUAUAGAUGGAUCCGCGCUGCAUUAGCUAGUUGGUAAGGUAACGGCUUACCAAGGCAACGAUGCAUAGCCGACCUGAGAGGGUGAUCGGCCACACUGGAACUGAGACACGGUCCAGACUCCUACGGGAGGCAGCAGUAGGGAAUCUUCCGCAAUGGGCGAAAGCCUGACGGAGCAACGCCGCGUGAGUGAUGAAGGUCUUCGGAUCGUAAAACUCUGUUAUUAGGGAAGAACAUAUGUGUAAGUAACUGUGCACAUCUUGACGGUACCUAAUCAGAAAGCCACGGCUAACUACGUG
rnacentral:rRNA from 1 species